rnacentral:rRNA from 1 species
CAGCAGCCGCGGUAAUACGAAGGGGGCUAGCGUUGCUCGGAAUUACUGGGCGUAAAGGGAGCGUAGGCGGAUCGUUAAGUUGGGGGUGAAAGCCCGGGGCUCAACCUCGGAACUGCCUUCAAUACUGGCGAUCUUGAGUAUGAGAGAGGUGUGUGGAACUCCGAGUGUAGAUGUGAAAUUCGUAGAUAUUCGGAAGAACACCAGUGGCGAAGGCGACACACUGGCUCAUUACUGACGCUGAGGCUCGAAAGCGUGGGGAGCAAACAGGAUUAGAUACCCGAGUAGUCCCUGUCUCUUAUAC